AAUGAACGCUGGCGGCAUGCCUAACACAUGCAAGUCGAACGACGGCUUCGGCCUUAGUGGCGCACGGGUGGGUGAAGCGGGGGAAUCUGCCCUUGGGUGCGGAAUAACAGUUAGAAAUGACUGCUAAAACCGGGAGAUGUCGUAAGACCAAAGAUUUAUCGCCCAAGGAGGAGCCCGCGUAGGCUUAGCUAGUUGGUGGGGUAAAGGCCUACCAAGGCGACGAUCCUUAGCUGGUCUGAGAGGAUGAUCAGCCACACUGGGACUGAGACACGGCCCAGACUCCUACGGGAGGCAGCAGUGGGGAAUAUUGGACAAUGGGCGAAAGCCUGAUCCAGCAAUGCCGCGUGAGUGAUGAAGGCCGUAGGGUUGUAAAGCGCUUUUACCCGGGAGGAUAAUGACAGUACCGGGAGAAUAAGCUCCGGCUAACUUCGUG
rnacentral:rRNA from 1 species